UACGUAGGGGGCGAGCGUUGUCCGAAUUUACUGGGCGUAAAGCGCGUGUAGGCGGCUCUUUAAGUGAGGUGUGAAAUCCUGCGGCUCAACCGCAGAACUGCAUUUCAAACUGGAGGGCUUGAGUUUGGGAGAGGAAAGUGGAAUUCCUGGUGUAGCGGUGAAAUGCGUAGAUAUCAGGAGGAACACCCGUGGCGAAGGCGGCUUUCUGGCCCAACACUGACGCUGAGACGCGAAAGCCAGGGGAGCGAACGGGAUUAGAUACCCCGGUAGUCCUGGCCGUAAACGAUGGAUACUAGGUGUUAGUGGUAUCGACCCCACUAGUGCCGUAGCUAACGCAUUAAGUAUCCCGCCUGGGGAGUACGGCCGCAAGGUUG
rnacentral:rRNA from 1 species